GAAUAAGUCUCGAGGAGUCGAAUGUAAACUCGACUUUAGGCAGGUAUACACGACGUUACCUCCUUGAGUGCGUACGUACGCAACGUGUGCGAAUGGGGGGGAAACCAGUCAGUCGUAUAAAACCGAGCGGCGAGUCGCGGCUCUAGUCAGUCUCUCACUCGGUCGGUACCUAACGCGAACGUCGUUUCUUUUCGUAAUAUUUUCUUCACGUUGUGCUUUCCCUGUAAUUCCCCCGUCCCCUGUUCUCCCUCGUUCUGCUCGUAUUCGCAUGCGCGUUGACAAAAUACGAAUACAAAUUUGACGUCGACUUCAGAGUUAAAAAAGAAGAAAGAAAAAAAAAAAAAAAAAAAAAAAAAAAAAGAAAAAGAAGGAAAAAAAUAAUUAAAAAAAAAAAAAAAAAAAAAAGAAAGGAAAAAAAAAAAUAGAAAAAUAGAAAAAUAAAAAAACAGAAGAACGAAAAGGGAGAACACGGGAACGAGAUCGAUAUCUAAGAGGUGGAUUCGUCGAUUGUGAUUUUGUGUUUUUGUGUUGUAUAUAUAUAUAUAUAUAUAUAUACACGUGAGUGACGUUCGUUUUGACUUUGGAAUAGAAAAAAAAAAAGAAAGGAAAGAAAAGAAAAGAAAAGAAGAGAUGAAGUCGUAAUAACAACAUCGGAUACAAAGUGAAUAAGAAGAAAAACAGAAAAGAAAAGAAAAGAAAAGAAAAGAGGAAAGAGAAAAGAAGAGAAUUCUACGUCGAAGAGGAACAAUUAUCAAUGGUCAUCCUUCAUCUUAAUUAGCCCCCAGGAAGAUUCUAGUUACUUCUUGCCUCUAUUUUCUAUCUCUAUAUCUACCUAUCUAUUUAUCUAUCUAUCCAUCUAUCUAUGUAUCUAUCUUGUCUAUCCAUCCAUCUAUAUACACACACACAUAUAUAUAUAUCUUUCUUCCUUCCUUAUGAAAGAAAAAUCUGAUCAACGCUGUUGAAAGAUCUCUAAAGAAGACGUUAUUGCGAAGAGAAGAGAGAAUAUAUCGAGGUGUGCAUUUAACGAUCGAAAAAGGAGGAAGACUCGAGGAUCGUAAAGUAACGCUCUCUCUCUCGCUAUACAGAUAGAGAGAGAGAGAGAGAGAGAGAGAGAGAGAGAGAGAGAGAGAAAAAGAAAAAGAAGACGACGGUGGUCUCUAAAGCAAACGCGUCGAACGAAGUUAUUAACAACCACGUGUGUGGCGUCGGUGUGAAAGAGCGUUAAUUAACACCGUCGUCAUAUGGAAGCAUAAUGGCGGUCCGCUGAAAGACGGUCUCGGGAAAGAAAGAAAAGGAGAAAGAAAAUAAAGAGGUAAAAGAAGAAAUAUAUAAGAAAGCAUCGGGCAAGGAAGAAGAUUAUGAGGCGCCCGUAGGAAAGGACCAUUUCUACCUUUACUUUCUACUGUUUUUCGUCGUAGAAAUAUGUCGAAAGGAGGAAAGAAAGCAACGUCGUUAUUCAACAUGAGAGCCACUCGAGCAGCCUCAGCGUUUCUCCUAUUCUACUCUGCAAUCGAAAUUAUGAGAAAAGUGAAAAAAUAAAGGAAGAAAGAUAGUAAUGGAAAAAUUAUCUGAUAUAAAUCUUGUAAUAUAACUAUUGUUACGAUAAAUAUAUAUAUAUAUAUAUAUAUAUAUAUAUAUAUAUAUGUUUAACUUUACUAAUGUUAAUUGGUACAUCACACGCUUACAUGAUAUAUUAAUGUAGUUUAAUUAGUACACAUAGAUAUUAUAAUUGUAUAUUACUAACUUAUUUGUGUAUGUAUUUAUGUAUGUUGAAAUUGAAAAUUUUAUUUAUUCCCAUAGGAAUAAACAACGUGUACAUCAAAAUGACAUAUCGUUAUUAUAUAUUUGUAUUAUAAUUAUUUUCCUUGUUUAUUUUUCGAUUCAAUUUCAACAAUUUGAUUUCGUAUACGUAUAUUGUAUAUUUUGAAAAUAAUAUUUUUCAUAUGAAAUUCAAUUAUAUCUGAUUGUUAUUCUUGGCUGAAUAUAAAAAGUGUUACAUAAAUGGUGACUUAAGAAUUCUCAGAAAAAAAAAGAAAAAGAAAAAAAAAAAAAGAAAUAUGAAAACACACUAAUUAUCUACCAUCGUAUCAAUGGUUAUCUCAUACAGUGCGAAAAAUUAAAAUUAAAAAGAAGGAAAGAAAAAAAUAAAAGAAAAUGAAGAAAAAAGAAAAUGAAAUUUUUAAAGAAAGAAAAAUAAUCAACAGAGAUUUUAUUGUUCCGGAUGUUUUUUUUUUUUUUUUUUUUUUUUUGAUAUAAUUAGAUUAAAACGGGAUUGGGACAAGAGAGUCGACGAUGGAAUAAAAGACCCUUUUGUUGUUGUUGUCCUUGCAUCUCUUUGUUACUAUAGACGAUAGAAAUUCACUUUGCAUUUGAAGCGAGAUAGAAACAUUGGUCGAUAAUAAUACGAGUUGUUGUACGUGUCGUCGUCUCUUGUAUUAAUGUUACGAGGCCUACUACGUCUAUCCAUCGUCAUCGUCUUAUUCAAUUCAACCGGUAAUAUUACAUGUGUACGAGUGUUCGUUGGAUUAUCGUUUCUUCAGUUACUAAGACGACUUGAUACAUAUUCCUGCCUAUUGUUUGUUAAAAUAGAAAUGCACAGAGAAUGCACAUUUGUUUUUGCAGAAUAAGCCAGAACAAGACGUACAUUCUAACUCGAGUGAAUUUUGUUCGAUAUUACGAUUGAUCUUCUGUUUUUCUCAACUUCACCGUGUACUAUUCAAUUCUCGUUGUUAGUUCGAAAGAGAGAAAGAGAGAGAGAGAGAGAGAAAGAGAGAGAGAGAGAGAGAAGGACACGCGAUAUGUUCAACCUUCUAUAAUAGACAUUCACGUCCAUCUAUCUAUUUUAUUUCAUUGUUUUGUCACAAAAUAGAUCUUCGGCAUAUAUUCGCGAAAAUUAUAAUAAUUUUAUACACGUAUAUAAUAUUUAAUGUAACAAUAGUUAUAAGAUUUGCAUUAGAUAAUUUUUCUUGUUCUCUUUUUUUUUCUUUUUUAUUUUUAUACACGACAAAAAAUUACGUCUUAUUGUUUUCUUUGGGCGACAAAAGAAAAGAAGAUGAAGAAAAGAGAGAGAGAGAGAGAGAGAGAGAGAGAGAGAUCGAUAAUUUCGAUUAAUUUGAUUUUUGAUAAUAAAUUUUUUUUUCCUUUUGUUAUUAUAAAUUUAAUAGCGUCGUUGUUUCAUUUGACAUUGUAUAAAAUGACAGAGACAAGAAUAUAAUUUCUUUGAUCGAAUAAUAUGAAUUUUCAUCUCGAAUAAAUUUCUCUUUCACGUUAACAUAUUGUAACGAUUAUUAUUUGGUUGUAAUAAUCAACGUAAAUGUACGUAUAUAUAAACGUAAUGAACGUAGAAUCAGAUAGAUCAAUUUCUCAAAUACAAUAUAAUCCAAAUCGGCAUUGUAUUCUCGCGAGAAAUUUAUUCCGCUUACGAAACGAUCGUAGGAACGAUCGAUGAAAGCGUGGUAGGGAUACGUCAAGGGAAUCGCAAAUGAGAAAAGAAAACGAGAAGACGAAGAAAAAGAAAGAAGGAAAAAGAAAGAAGGAAAAAGAACGAAGACGAAGACGAAGACGAAGACGACGACGACGACGACGACGACAACGACGACGACGACGGCGACGACUACAACCACAACGACGACGGAAGCUCGUUUAUAUCCUUAUCGCGUUACGUAAAAAAAAAAAAAAAAAAAAAAAAUAAA